GCUACAAAAUGCAUGGAUGCAAAGUGUAAUUUAUCCAAAGAAAAUAUAAUGAAGUAAAAAAAGAUUCUUCUUCUUUUUUUCCUUUUUUAAAAUGGAAGCAAGUAGAUAUUUGUCCAAAAUUUUGUUUUUAUUGUUUAGCUACCCAUAAAAAUUAUAUACAUAACUAAUUCAAUUUCCUUGACAAAUCUAAAAUCCAAACGGAACCAAGUUUCACUACCUGUGUGGUGUUGGGGCAGGGUGACAGUAUCUGCAGAAAUACAAAGCAACCUAGUUCCAAACAACUAUUGUCACCAGACAACAUAUCACAGAAUUUAACUGAAAUUUGGGCCCCAACAUAUUUCAAAUAUAACACUAGUGCUGAUGACUUAUUGAAGAUCCUUGUAACCGAAGAAUGACACAACCUUUGAGUUUAAGGAGCUUCAAGCUUUAUAUGUUGGUGGUAUUAGGGCGUUGGUAAAUAAAAUACACAUCCUGAAGCACAAGUGAGCAGAUUAAGCUUGAAGGCUUGCUGGCUGAUUUUUCCAGGUUUUUCCAGGUAUGUUGGUUUUGUUGUGUGUCUUCAUUAAUCUCUUUCUGUUUAUCAGAAUAUGAACCUUUAGUUUGUUACGUUAAAAACUGAACUCAGAUAUGAUAUGUAUGCCUUGAUAUGAAUAUAUAUGAAACAUAUGCUUAUUUUUGCUGCUGC